ACGUCGCACAGCCGCAAAGGGGCAGAGCCGGGAUUAGAACCCGGGUCCUUCUGAAGCCCAGGCCCGGGCUCCAUCCUCGCGGCUUCUCUUGAUGGAUCAUCUGCCGUUCGGGAGGGAAGGAAUCCAUCCGUCGGAUAGGUUAAAUUAUGAUGAAAUGGAUAAGGCAGACCUCCACUGGGUACAUGGAAACAGCAUGGCAUAGAGGAAAGAAGCCAGGCAUGGGAGUCAGAGCACCUGAGUUCUAAUCCCGGCACCGCCACCCGCCAGCUUCGAGACCUUGGUCUCUCGCCGGGAGUUUACUGGGUCCAGAUGAAAGCACACGGACAACACGGAAGGAAGGCGAACAGGUUCAGAUCUUCAGCUACGCGUUGCCAGGGGAAGUACCUCGUGUUUCUCCGGUACCAUCCUAGGCACUUAAUACCCUGCUGCGCAUCGGAUCCAAGAGGAAUCGAUCCAUCAGUGGUAUUUAAUGAGUGCUUCCUGUGUGCAGAGCACUGUACUGAGCGCUUGGGAGAGGAAUCGGCAGGCACUAGGAGGAGCUUCUAGUCUGGAGAACUCAGUAAAUACCGUUCUUUCGAUCGUAUUUAUCGAGCACUUAUUGUGCGCAAGGCAUUGUAUCAGCGCUCCUAUGGCUUCCUUUAGAAUGUAAACUCAUUAUAGGCAGGGAAUGUGCCUAUAGUUCCUCUGUACUCUCCCAAGCGCUCAGUACAGUGCUCUGCACCCGUUAAGCACUCGAUAAUUACGAAUGAAAGAAUGCUACAAUUUAUCGAGCCCCUGGGAGAGUCCGGUAGCAUCGAAGCCACACUUCGUGUCUUCGAGGAUUUUACGCCGUAGCGGAUUGUUCAGUCACUCGAGAGCAAACGGACUUCCGUCGGCCAGAACGACUCGUCCCCCUUUCCCUUUGUGUGCAGAUCUAGCGUCGAUCAUCGUGUCCAAGAGAUCGCGCCCCCGACGACUUCUCCGUGAAGGAGGGAAUGAAUCACGUUGGGGGAUUUGCAAUCCUGCAGAAAAAUCUUAAUUAACAUCCCUCCGCCUGUGGCGCUCGGUUCCUUCAGAAUUAAUGAGGCCGACAGAGGCUCGGUAGAACUAAGGAAGAGGUGCGGCCGAACGGAAAGAGCCCUGGCGCGGGAGCCGCGGGACCCGGGUUCUAAUUCCAGCCUCCGCCAGCCUAGUGACCCUGGGGAAGUCACUUUAGCUCUCGGUUUCUUCCUCUUCCGAGCGGAGACACGAUACCGUUCGCCCUCCGAUCUGGACAGCGCAGUCCACGUUACAUUGGAUGAGCCAGGCCGGAGGGCCGGAUUCUAGGUCCACCGGUGCUAGGAUCCUAAUUUCACGCGGGAGAUCGGGACCCACCACCUUGCCCUGCCGAGGCGCCAUCCUUCGCCCUACUCCAGCGAUAACCCCUCUGAUUUUGUAAAGUUUUAUGUUUACUGUUGGAUGCAGUGAGAUUAAAAAUCCGUGAGUACAAA